rnacentral:rRNA from 1 species
UGGGGAAUCUUGCGCAAUGGACGAAAGUCUGACGCAGCGACGCCGCGUGAGUGAUGAAGGCCCUCGGGUUGUAAAGCUCUGUGGAGGGGGACGAAUAAGCGUUGGUCAAUAUCCAGCGUGAUGACGGUACCCUUUUAGCAAGCACCGGCUAACUCUGUGCCAGCAGCCGCGGUAAGACAGAGGGUGCAAACGUUGUUCGGAAUUACUGGGCGUAAAGCGCGUGUAGGCUGCUUGGCAAGUCGGAUGUGAAAGCCCUGGGCUCAACCCAGGAAGUGCAUUCGAAACUGCCGAGCUGGAGUCCUGGAGAGGAAGGCGGAAUUCUCGGUGUAGAGGUGAAAUUCGUAGAUAUCGAGAGGAACACCGGUGGCGAAGGCGGCCUUCUGGACAGUGACUGACGCUGAGACGCGAAAGCGUGGGGAGCAAACAG